UACGUAGGGGGCAAGCGUUGUCCGGAAUUAUUGGGCGUAAAGGGCGCGUAGGCGGAUAGUUAAGUCCGGUGUGAAAGAUCAGGGCUCAACCCUGAGAGUGCAUCGGAAACUGGUUAUCUUGAGGACAGGAGAGGAAAGUGGAAUUCCUAGUGUAGCGGUGAAAUGCGUAGAUAUCAGGAAGAACACCCGUGGCGGAAGGCGGCUCUCUGGGACGGUACUGACGCUGAGACGCGAAAGCGUGGGGAGCGAACAGG
rnacentral:rRNA from 1 species